rnacentral:tRNA from 1 species
GUUCUUAUAGUUCAAUUUUAAUAACGGUGGCUUUUCAAGUCGCAGAUCUUGGAGAAAUGCCAAGUAAGAAUA